rnacentral:rRNA from 1 species
CCCUUAGAUGUUCUGGGCCGCACGCGCGCUACACUGAUGAAUUCAACGAGCUCCUAACCUAGGCCGAAGGGUCCGGGUAAUCUUUGAAAUUUCAUCGUGAUGGGGAUAGAUUAUUGCAAUUAUUAAUCUUCAACGAGGAAUUCCUAGUAAACGCAAGUCAUCAGCUUGCAUUGAUUACGUCCCUGCCCUUUGUACACACCGCCCGUCGCACCUACCGAUUGAAUGGUCCGGUGAAAUCUCGGGACGGCGGCUUGGUCGCUUGCGUCCGACUGCUGAAACUUGAUUAAACCAUAUCAUUUAGAGGAAGGUGAAGUCGUAACA